CUCCUAUAUGGCGCCCUAGGCGGCUGCCUAGUUCGCCUUAUAGGAAGCGCCAGCCCUGCUGGUAAGAGCAACGGCAGACAGAAAACUGGUGACAUGUUCUAGGACAGCAGGGGAGAGAAAAGGGGUGGAGUCAGGGCCGUCUUUAAUAUUGACCGGACACUGGGCAACCAUUUGCUUGGGGCCCUUGGACUCUGCCCCCUGCCAGACAUACUAACACACACACACAGAGACAUACACUGACAGACAUACUGACACACACGCUGACACACACAUUGACAGACACAUAUUGACAGACAUACUGACACACACACAGAAACAUACACUACAGACAUACUGACAUAUGCAGACACAUAUACUGACACACAUACACAAAGACAUACAAUGACAGACAUACUGACACACAUACAGACACAUACAAUAACAGACAUACUGACAUACACAGACACAUACAAUAACAGACAUACUGACAUACACAGACAGACAUACUGACACAUACACCGACAGACAUACUGACACAAGCACAGACACAUACACUAACAGACAUACUGACAUAAACAUACACUGACAGACAUACUGACAAACAUACACUGAAAGACAUACUGACACAAACACAGACAGACAUACUGACAUAAACAUACACUGACAUACAUACUGACACAAACACAUACACUGACAUACAUACUGACACAAACACAUACACUGACAGACAUACUGACAAACAUACAAUGACAGACAUACUGACACAAACACAGACACAGACAGACAUACUGACAUAAACAUACACUGACAGACAUACUGACAAACAUACACUGAAAGACAUACUGACACAGACACAGACUGACAUAAAUUUACACUUUUAAACCCACCCACAAGUUUCCUACCUUGGAAGGUGGUUCCCCAGUGUCCAGACUGAAGGCUGUUGGGAUCUGCCUCUCCUGGCAAAGGCUCCCUCCUUCGUCUCCCGCGUGGCUCCUCUCCUUAGUGGGAGGAAGUGACUCGCAGCCUUCACUUCCUCCCAGUGCUGCCGAAAAGCAAAGGGCCCGGUCGCGCUGUUAAAGAGCUACCGUAUGUGACCGGGCCCCUGCUUACAAAUACCCACCCGGUGGCCUGCUUAAUGUGGGGGCCGGCGGCCCCAUGGGAGAAACAAUUGUUGGGGGCAGCGGGGCCCACGGGGAAGCUGUCUUGGGCCCCUCAAGAGUAACUGGGCCCGGGGCAGCUGCCCCGUUUGCCCCGCGUUAAAGACGGCCCUGGGUGGAGUGGUAUAUAUGGGUGUCGUCAGCAUACAGAUAGUAGUGGAAUCCAAAAGAAUUAAUACGUUUGCCAAGAAAGGCAGUAUAAAGAGAAACCAGAAGAGGACCAAGAACAGAGCCUUGUGUUUACACAAACCGAGACAGGAUGGGGUAUGAGGUGUUACCAGAAAAGGAGACCAUGAAGUAUUUUGAAGAGAGAUAGGAUGAGAACCAUGAAAAGACAUUGUAAUUAAGGCCAAGGGUGUGCAGAGUUUGGAGAAGGAGAGCGUGAUCAACAAUGUCAAAGUCAGCAGAAAGGUCUAGAAGAAUUAGGUUGGAGUAGUGUCAUUUGUAUUUAGUGUAAUAAGAUCAUUAGUUACUUUAGUCAAAGCAGUGUCAGUAGAACAUUGAUGGCGGAAACCAAGUUGAAAGGGGUUGACUAAGGAGUUUGAAUUGAGAUAGAUUGUCAGGCGGUUACACACAAUUCAUUAUAGGAGAAAAGGAGUAGAGCUAUGGGACGUUAGUUGGACAAGGAAGAUUGGUCAGGGUGUGGCUAUUUUAGGAUGAGUAUGACAGUAGCAUAUUUAAGGGAAGUAGUGACAAUGCCAAAA
rnacentral:lncRNA from 1 species